GACGAACGCUGGCGGCGUGCUUAACACAUGCAAGUCGAACGGUGAAGCGCCUUCCUUUUUGGUGGGUGUGGAUGAGUGGCGAACGGGUGAGUAACACGUGAGUAACCUGCCCCCUUCUUCUGGAUAACCGCAUGAAAGUGUGGCUAAUACGGGAUAUUCUGGGUCUGUCGCAUGAUGUGUCUGGUAAAGAUAUUGUUUCGGUGGGGGAUGGGCUCGCGGCCUGUCAGCUUGUUGGUGGGGUGAUGGCCUACCAAGGCGGUGACGGGUAGGCGGCCUGAGAGGGUUGACGGCUAAGAUGGGAGAGAGCACGAGGCAAGACCACUAAGGGAGGCAGCAGUGGGGAAUAGUGCACAAUGGGAGCAAGCCUGAUGCAGCGACGCCGCGUGAGGGAUGGAGGCCUUCGGGUUGUGAACCUCUUUCGCCAGUGAAGCAGUCCUGCCUCGUGUGUGGGUGGGUUGACGGUAGCUGGAUAAGAAGCGCCGGCUAACUACGUG
rnacentral:rRNA from 1 species